rnacentral:rRNA from 1 species
UACGUAGGAUGCAAGCGUUGUCCGGAUUUACUGGGCGUAAAGCGCGCGCAGGCGGCACACCAAGUACCCUAUGAAAUCUCCUUGCUCAACGGGGAGGUGUUGGGUAGACUGGUGAGCUAGAGGACGGUAGAGGGGGGUAGAAUUGCUGGUGUAGCGGUGAAAUGCGUAGAGAUCAGCAGGAAUACCCGUGGCGAAGGCGGCCUUCUGGG